rnacentral:rRNA from 1 species
GACGAACGCUGGCGGCGUGCUUAACACAUGCAAGUCGAACGCUGAAGCUUGGUGCUUGCACUGGGUGGAUGAGUGGCGAACGGGUGAGUAAUACGUGAGUAACCUGCCCUUGACUCUGGGAUAAGCCUGGGAAACUGGGUCUAAUACUGGAUACGACAUGUCACCGCAUGGUGGUGUGUGGAAAGGGUUUUACUGGUUUUGGAUGGGCUCACGGCCUAUCAGCUUGUUGGUGGGGUAAUGGCUCACCAAGGCGACGACGGGUAGCCGGCCUGAGAGGGUGACCGGCCACACUGGGACUGAGACACGGCCCAGACUCCUACGGGAGGCAGCAGUGGGGAAUAUUGCACAAUGGGCGGAAGCCUGAUGCAGCGACGCCGCGUGAGGGAUGACGGCCUUCGGGUUGUAAACCUCUUCCAGCACGGAAGAAGCGAAAGUGACGGUACGUGCAGAAGAAGCGCCGGCUAACUACGUG